AUGCAAGUCGAACGAGAAACUGGAGCUUGCUCCAGUGGACAGUGGCAGACGGGUGAGUAACGCGUAGCAACCUACCUAGUAGUACGGGAUAGCCCUUGGAAACGAGGUGUAAUACCGUAUACGUCCUCCGGGAGAAAGAUUUAUCGCUAUUGGAUGGGGCUGCGUUGGAUUAGCUAGUUGGUGAGGUAAUGGCUCACCAAGGCAACGAUCUAUAGCGGGUCUGAGAGGAUGAUCCGCCACACUGGGACUGAGACACGGCCCAGACUCCUACGGGAGGCAGCAGUGGGGAAUCUUGGACAAUGGGCGAAAGCCUGAUCCAGCCAUGCCGCGUGAAUGAUGAAGGCCUUAGGGUUGUAAAAUUCUUUCGAUGGUGAAGAUAAUGACGGUAGCCAUUAAAGAAGCCCCGGCUAACUCCGUGCCAGCAGCCGCGGUAAUACGGAGGGGGCUAGCGUUGUUCGGAAUUACUGGGCGUAAAGCGUCCGCAGGCGGAUUGUUAAGUUAGGGGUGAAAUCCCGGGGCUCAACCCCGGAACUGCCCUUAAAACUGGCAAUCUAGAGUUAUGGAGAGGUAAGUGGAAUUCCUAGUGUAGAGGUGAAAUUCGUAGAUAUUAGGAGGAACACCAGAGGCGAAGGCGGCUUACUGGACAUAUACUGACGCUGAGGGACGAAA
rnacentral:rRNA from 1 species